ACUGUUCCAACGGAUAAGGUGAAAGCGUAUUCCUCUGUUUACGUUUCUCUUUUUCUGUUCAGGCCCCUAGUUGAAAAGUUUUUCAUUAUAGAUAGAUCCCUGACAGUAAAACCCUUAUUACUUUCUAAUCGUAACUCCAAAUGAGGUGAAACCAACGCUCACUUCUUCGUUUCGUCGAGCCCGUUCUAUUGGUCAUGUUUUCACCAUGGUUUGACACUGUGAAAAUGACCAUUAUGCCCUUGCCCUUAUUCAGCCCCCUCCGAGAGAGAACGUUUUCCGGCGAAUAUUUCCGCGGCUUCACCGCACUUCUCCCCAGUACCUUCUUCAUCCCCAGGCAAGCCACAAUAUCCACUUGCAUGAUAGUCAUGCAGUAGCCAUGGUUUCAACUUGAAUAUUUAAUAAAUGUUUGCCUGUUGAAAAGAUGGUUAUCGUUGUUCCGGUGAUGUUCAGAUUUGCAUGUUCACUGUUAUGCUAUGUUGUUUUAUAGUCUGUGAUCAUGUUAUACGUGCUAGUAUUACCUUUCAUAUGAUUAUGCUGGUUAGUAGUACAUGUUGAUAUUGGUGAUGGUCAUGCUAGUCAGUAUGCCAUGUUUAGUGGAUAUGAGUUAUUGUUGGUAUGGUGGAAAGUUAUGUGAUACUCUCAUGAUGAUGUUGAUAUCAUGUUAAUGUAUUAUAGUUGGCAUCAUGUUAUUUUAUCAUGGCGCAGCAUUUUUGCAUUCAAGUUAACCAGAUUAAAUUGAACUUGAACACCUAUUGGCUGAGUCAUGGUGCCGCUGAAUCGAUCCUGACCAGUGCAACCACGCUUACCGGUAUGGGACUGUCCUAACUGGGUCUAUUGUCGUGCCUCUGGUCGGUACCUCAAUUUAGGGAAGGUUAUGGGCGCGUGCUACCCUGAUCAGGUAGGCGGAGCAUAACCUUGUGAGCCCGUUGUUAAGUUAAUUUUGGUACCGGAUCCCAGUGUGGAUCGUGGCCACGACGGUGGUCGCGGUGUCUGGAGGUAGACACGGGGCCACCCAGGACUAGCUCGGUGGGGUCUAAGUCGGAAGGGCCGGGAGAGUGUCAUGACAAUAGAUCGGUUUUGUCGGAACGUCAUUGGUCCACCCGAAUGGGAGUGCGAGGCCAUGGGUUUCGUAGUAUGGGUACAGUGUACUAACCUCUACAGAGUGUAUAUUAAUCUAUCGAUAGCCGCGCCCGCGGAUAAGGGCCCAGGUCGAGAAAAGGUCACACCAUGAGUCAACAGUAAUAAGAAUAAUGUGCUUAAUAACAGUGAGAUAAGUUGACCAAGUGUUGGUCGGGUGGUGAUCGCCGUAAGGAUCACGGGCCAUGUAGUGGUCGGGUUGUGAUCGCCGUAAGGAUCACGGGCCAAGUGCUGGUUGGGUGGUGAUCGUCGUAAAGAUCACGGUGGUAUCGAGGAUACCGAGUUGUUGUAUAUUCGUGACGUUGUACGAGAGUCGUGGGUAAAGAUCAAGCUCCUUGUGGUUAUUUAAUGAUCGCUACGGUAUUGUUUAUGCCAAGCUUGAUUUGAUCCUGAGAUGAUCAUGUGAUGUCCGAGGUCGAUAAGUGAUGCAUGUGUUGGUUACGAGGUAACUGAGCAUAAUAAGGGGUGCAUAUGGUGUCAUCAUGUUACAUGCUAGUAUUGUCGGAUUAAUAUGUUCAUGCUAUGUUCAGGUUGAGUUAGCUGUAUCAUGUUUAUGUUGGUCAUGCCAUGUUAUGCUGAUGAUCUCAUGUUAAUUCCUGUUUAACCUGUAAUUGUCGUGCUGUUGUUUGUCUUGAAUGCUUCUGGUUAUUUGUGAGCUUGCAAGUACAUUCAAUGUACUGACCUGGCGUGUCAUGCCAUCUUGCAGGUCAUGCCAGAUUUGAUUGCUUGCUUGUCGUGGUUUUCGUUCGUGCGAGCUAGGAUAAGCGUUCCAGCCAAAGUCCCUGCGGAUUGGAGUUCACCACCAUCGCCAUUGUUCUACUGCUUCGAGUUGUUUUGCUGCUUGCAUAGAGCAACUGAGGAUGGCGUAGUGUCGCCGUAUCGAUGUUAUUCAUUGUAAUAUCGGAGACCUUGUAUUCAUAUUUGUGUAAUAAUAGAAGGCUGGUUUGU
rnacentral:lncRNA from 1 species